rnacentral:tRNA from 1 species
AAGAUAAAUUAAUAAAUUGUCAAUUUAUUUUAUUAUAAAUUUAUAUUAUCUUA